GUGAUUGGGACAUUAUAAAAGUGGCCACAACUGAAUGUGGUGUAGUUAAGCUGUUAAGAAAUCAGCCUUUCCUAUCCAGCAAAACAGUUAAGUUAGAUGUUAAUGGAAAAACCAUUAAAAAACCCCAUUAUCCCAUGAAGAAAAAAAUGAAUGCACUCAAGCGGAAAAGGAAGACUUAUUGAUUAAUUUUCAGAUGAAGGUUCGUAAACUUAGCUUCAUGAAGUUGACUCUGGUUGCAGAUGCAAAGGGUACAGUAUUCGCACAGUAAAAGGAGAAAGAUGCUGUAGACUAACAACCAAGUAAGAGCCGUGCCACGCUGAGAGUGUCAGCCUGCCUCGUCCCCGAGCAAUCUUUUGUACCAGCCACUACCUUAAUGCCCUUGCACAGGGAAGGAUUUUUACAUUAGAAAAUAUUGGACUUGGUUAUACACAAUGAACUAGUGAGAACGGUAAGAUCACGCAUUUGCUGUUAAGCAUGUACCUACCUACCCCUCGACUUUUAAGUGUCUUAAAAUCAAAUGCAGGUUCAAAGGCAGGAUCAGGGCC
rnacentral:lncRNA from 1 species